rnacentral:rRNA from 1 species
UUUGAUGGCGACCGGCGCACGGGUGAGUAACACGUAUCCAACCUGCCGAUGACUCGGGGAUAGCCUUUCGAAAGAAAGAUUAANACCCGAUGGCAUAGUUCUUCCGCAUGGUGGAACUAUUAAAGAAUUUCGGUCAUCGAUGGGGAUGCGUUCCAUUAGGUUGUUGGCGGGGUAACGGCCCACCAAGCCUUCGAUGGAUAGGGGUUCUGAGAGGAAGGUCCCCCACAUUGGAACUGAGACACGGUCCAAACUCCUACGGGAGGCAGCAUG